GUUUGAUCCUGGCUCAGGACGAACGCUGGCGGCGUGCUUAAUACAUGCAAGUCGAACGGGGCCCAUCUGGUGGCAACACCAGGGAAGGCCUAGUGGCGAACGGGUGCGUAACACGUGAGCAACCUGCCCCGGAGUCCGGAAUAACAGUGGGAAACCGCUGCUAAUACCGGAUGACCCCACCGUCCCGCAUGAGACGAUGAGGAAAGGGUUCCCGCUUCGGGAGGGGCUCGCGGCCUAUCAGCUUGUUGGUGAGGUAACGGCUCACCAAGGCGACGACGGGUAGCUGGUCUGAGAGGACGAUCAGCCACACUGGGACUGAGACACGGCCCAGACUCCUACGGGAGGCAGCAGUAGGGAAUCUUGCGCAAUGGGCGAAAGCCUGACGCAGCAACGCCGCGUGGGGGAUGAAGGCCUUCGGGUUGUAAACUCCUUUUAGUGAGAACGAAACUGACGGUACCCACAGAAGAAGCCCCGGCCAACUACGUGCCAGCAGCCGCGGUGAUACGUAGGGGGCGAGCGUUGUCCGGAUUCAUUGGGCGUAAAGAGCUCGUAGGCGGUUCGGUAAGUCGGGUGUGAAACCUCCAGGCUCAACCUGGAGACGCCACUCGAUACUGUCGUGACUCGAGUCCGGUAGGGGACCAUGGAAUU
rnacentral:rRNA from 1 species